rnacentral:rRNA from 1 species
CCUGGAAACGGGGUCUAAUACCGGAUACUGACCCUCGCAGGCAUCUGCGAGGUUCGAAAGCUCCGGCGGUGCAGGAUGAGCCCGCGGCCUAUCAGCUUGUUGGUGAGGUAAUGGCUCACCAAGGCGACGACGGGUAGCCGGCCUGAGAGGGCGACCGGCCACACUGGGACUGAGACACGGCCCAGACUCCUACGGGAGGCAGCAGUGGGGAAUAUUGCACAAUGGGCGAAAGCCUGAUGCAGCGACGCCGCGUGAGGGAUGACGGCCUUCGGGUUGUAAACCUCUUUCAGCAGGGAAGAAGCGAAAGUGACGGUACCUGCAGAAGAAGCGCCGGCUAACUACGUGCCAGCAGCCGCGGUAAUACGUAGGGCGCAAGCGUUGUCCGGAAUUAUUGGGCGUAAAGAGCUCGUAGGCGGGCUUGUCACGUCGGGUUGUGAAAGCCCGGGGGCUUAACCCCGGGGUCUGCAGUCGAUACGGGCAGGCUAGAGUUCGGUAGGGGAGAUCGGAAUUCCUGGUGUAGCGGUGAAAUGCGCAGAUAUCAGGAGGAACACCGGUGGCGAAGGCGGAUCUCUGGGCCGAUACUGACGCUGAGGAGCGAAAGCGUGGGGAGCGAACAGGAUUAGAUACCCCUGGUAGUCCACGCCGUAAACGGUGGGCACUAGGUGUGGGCAACAUUCCACGUUGUCCCGUGCCGCAGCUAACGCAUUUAAGUGCCCCGCCUGGGGGAGUACGGCCGCAAAGGCUAAAAACUCAAAAGGAAUUGACGGGGGGCCCCGCACAAAGCGGCGGGAGCAUGUGGGCUUAAUUUCGACGCCACCGCGAAAGAACCUUUACCAAGGGCUUUGACAUUACACCGGGAAAAGCAUCCAGAAGAUGGGUGCCCCCCCU